AAUUUAGACAUUACCAAAAUUGAAAAUAUUUGCUUUUCAAAAGUUGCCAUUAAGAAAAUGAAGUAUAAAGGAAGUACAAAUUAUAUACUUGAACUUUCAAAAGUUGGUCAUAAGAAAAACAAGCAGUUUACAACAGGGGCUGAAGAUCUAACUUUCAGACCACUGGGCAGCAGAGGAGAGGGGCCAUGUCCACCUGUACUUGGGGAACCAGCACAUGAGGCCAUCGUGUGCCACCGGGACAGCAGGUAGCACAGAGCACUGAUAACAAGCAAAGGGUCACUGCUGUGGGGAGCAGAGAGCAGACUCACCGCUGAAAUCAGGGGUGUCCUUGGGAAGUGGCUGUUGGCUGCAGCAGCACAAGCCUAUGGUCCAGCAACCUGGGGGGCUGAGGUGGGAGGAGCCUUCUGGCCAGUGCAACCCAGGGUAGACCCCAGCUCAAACAAGACUUACAUAAACCCCUACAUGUGACUGCUAGCCCACCCCUGCUUUCUACCCAAAGGGGAAUGAAAUAGGUGUACGUGUGUCACAUGGGAGGGAGGGUUCUGUCCCAUGGAGGUCUUUGCCCAGGAUCCCUUAUGCCUCAGGAGCCAUUUCUCAAAACUGACUGAAAUGGCCUUGAGUUUGGAGUAGCAGAAGCUCAUGUCAAAAGCUCCUUUCCAUCACAUGCUUUUCCUUUUCAGGGGAAAGAGGACAGCACCCCAGCUUUGACUCCACCUUCCCCCGGACUGAAGCGUAAGAAGUUCCUGCCUGCUUCCUUGUGUUCCAGUCCCAGCUCCACCCAUUCCUUGAGCCUGCAGAGUGACUCGCCGCCAGUCAGCCCGGAGCGCUCUGCUCUCCGCCACCCGCCGCGAGGAGAGAGGUCCCGAGGAAAGAGGGAAGUUUCAUCAGUCCUUGAAGAAGACGAUGUCAAGGCUGAAGCCUUAAAUUCUGGGGAGAUAAUGUGAUGUGUGUGGCGGUGAAGUCUACCAGAGGUUGAGUCUCUAGAGUGUUAAAUAUUUUCAUAAAAAAAACAAAAAAAGAAAUACCAA